rnacentral:rRNA from 1 species
AUUGAACGCUGGCGGCAUGCCUUACACAUGCAAGUCGAACGGCAGCACGGGUGCUUGCACCUGGUGGCGAGUGGCGAACGGGUGAGUAAUACAUCGGAACAUGUCCUGUAGUGGGGGAUAGCCCGGCGAAAGCCGGAUUAAUACCGCAUACGAUCCACGGAUGAAAGCGGGGGACCUUCGGGCCUCGCGCUAUAGGGUUGGCCGAUGGCUGCUUAGCUAGUUGGUGGGGUAAAGGCCUACCAAGGCGACGAUCAGUAGCUGGUCUGAGAGGACGACCAGCCACACUGGGACUGAGACACGGCCCAGACUCCUACGGGAGGCAGCAGUGGGGAAUUUUGGACAAUGGGCGAAAGCCUGAUCCAGCAAUGCCGCGUGUGUGAAGAAGGCCUUCGGGUUGUAAAGCACUUUUGUCCGGAAAGAAAUCCUUGACUCUAAUACAGUCGGGGGAUGACGGUACCGGAAGAAUAAGCACCGGCUAACUACGUG